rnacentral:rRNA from 1 species
AUUGAACGCUGGCGGCAUGCUUUACACAUGCAGGUCGAACGGCAGCGCGGGCUUCGGCCUGGCGGCGAGUGGCGAACGGGUGAGUAAUGCAUCGGAACGUGCCCAGUAGUGGGGGAUAGCCCGGCGAAAGCCGGAUUAAUACCGCAUACGACCUGAGGGUGAAAGCGGGGGACCGAAAGGCCUCGCGCUAUUGGAGCGGCCGAUGUCGGAUUAGCUAGUUGGUGGGGUAAAGGCUUACCAAGGCGACGAUCCGUAGCUGGUCUGAGAGGACGACCAGCCACACUGGGACUGGGACACGGCCCAGACUCCUACGGGAGGCAGCAGUGGGGAAUUUUGGACAAUGGGGGCAACCCUGAUCCAGCCAUGCCGCGUGCGGGAAGAAGGCCUUCGGGUUGUAAACCGCUUUUGUUCGGGAAGAAAUCCUCUGGGCUAAUACCCCGGGGGGAUGACGGUACCGGAAGAAUAAGCACCGGCUAACUACGUG